UACGGAGGGUGCAAGCGUUAUCCGGAUUCACUGGGUUUAAAGGGUGCGUAGGAGGGCAGGUAAGUCAGUGGUGAAAUCUCCGAGCUUAACUUGGAAACUGCCGUUGAUACUAUCUGCCUUGAAUAUUGUGGAGGUGAGCGGAAUAUGUCAUGUAGCGGUGAAACGCUUAGAUAUGACAUAGAACACCAAUUGCGAAGGCAGCUCGUUACACGAAGAUUGACUCUGAGGCACGAAAGCGUGGGGAGCGAACAGG
rnacentral:rRNA from 1 species